rnacentral:rRNA from 1 species
GACAGAGGGUGCAAGCGUUGUCCGGAAUUAUUGGGCGUAAAACGUCUGUAGGCGGUUUAUUAAGUCUAAAGUCAAAUAGUUGAGCUCAACUCAAUCUUCGCUUUGGAUACUGAUGAACUAGAGUGCGUUAGGGGUUAUUGGAAUUCCCGGUGUAGUGGUGAAAUACGUAGAUAUCGGGAGGAACUCCAGUGGCGAAAGCGAAUAACUGGGGCGUAACUGACGCUGAGAGACGAAAGCGUGGGGAGCAAAAAGG